rnacentral:rRNA from 1 species
UACAGAGGGUGCAAGCGUUAAUCGGAAUUACUGGGCGUAAAGCGCGCGUAGGUGGUUCGUUAAGUUGGAUGUGAAAUCCCCGGGCUCAACCUGGGAACUGCAUUCAAAACUGUCGAGCUAGAGUAUGGUAGAGGGUGGUGGAAUUUCCUGUGUAGCGGUGAAAUGCGUAGAUAUAGGACGGAACACCAGUGGCGAAGGCGACCACCUGGACUGAUACUGACACUGAGGUGCGAAAGCGUGGGGAGCAAACAGG